UGUAUGUUUGGUUUGAUUCUUUGGUUCAUGGUUUGCAGCAAGUAAUUUUUAUCUAUGCAAUCUCUUGGCGUGGAGUGCCACCUAUGAAUCGUCUCUGUGACCUUACUACUCCCUCCAUUCCAAAUUACUACUCGUGGAGGGAGUACAUGUUUGGAUCGACUCUCAUCCAGUGUCUCCUGAUUAAACCGUCCCUUCACAAAAAAUCCCGAUCAGCGGAACAACAUCAUGCCCCCAAAAAGAUUCCUGCCCUCCCUACUUUCCUUCCACCCGGCCCGACGAACCAACACCCGGCCCGACGAACCAACACCCAGCCCGCCUACCUACACCCGAUGGACCUCACUGGAUCCAUCGUUUUCAGCCCAAUAACCCCCGAAACCCUAGACAUACCAGCUACUAUAUAAUCCCUCCCUCGAACGGCCGAGGGGCACCAGAUCCUUCCAUUCGAAGCGCCGCCGCCGCCAUUCCGCCGAGAUCCCCCGAGCCCUCGUCGCGGAGAUCACCUCGUCUCACCCGUGCGAUGGCCAACAACCCCCCUCGUUUCUCCUUCCUGGUGAAAUAUUUGAUGAUGAUUCCCCGGCUCUUGACAUGACCGACCACGUCAAUGACUUGGCUGAAGCCGUGGGAGAUGGCAAGUGAAGCUGCCCCACCCCUUUCAAGUGAAGAUGACGUUUUGCCCGCCUGAAGCAAGAGAUUAUCUGUUCGGUCUAUCUUGAAUGUGAACGUUGUUUAUUCAGUACUACCUGUAGUUUAAGUUCUUUAUGUCUUUGGAGCAAAAUUUUGAAAUGGCUUUGAUCUGUGGAUAGAAAUGUUGACUCUUAUCCUUCUUCUGGUUUAGCUGUGGAUAUAAUGGGUGAAGUAACAUAUAUGCUUCAUGCACCAGCUAUAAGUUCUGGCUGGUAGAACUUUUGACUUUUGAAAAAACUAUGUUGUCCGACUGCAGAUCUUUGAAUCGGCUUUGAGCUGAUGAUACAGAUGUUUCUAUCGUA